GACGAACGCUGGCGGCGUGCCUAAUACAUGCAAGUCGAACGCAGUGGGGACGGGUGAGUAACACGUGGGUAACCUCCCAUCAGAGGGGAUAACACUUGGAAACAGGUGCUAAACCGAUACUGAUGGAUGGACCAGCGGUGCAGUAGCUAGUUGGUGAGGUAACGGCGCACCAAGGCCACGAUGCAUAGCCGACCGUGGAGUGUGUGCGGCCACCCUGGGACUGAGUCGCGGCCCAGACUCCUACGUGAGGCAGCAGUAGGGAAUCUUCUGCAAUGGACGAAAGUCUGACCGAGCAACGCCGCGUGAGUGAAGAAGGUUUUCGGAUCGUAAAACUCUGGUGUUAGAGAAGCGGUAUCUAACCAGAAAGCCACUGCUAACUACGUGCCAGCAGCCGCGGUAAUAC
rnacentral:rRNA from 1 species